rnacentral:rRNA from 1 species
AUUGAACGCUGGCGGCAGGCCUAACACAUGCAAGUCGAGCGAGCGGCGGACGGGUGAGUAAUGUCUGGGAAACUGCCUGAUGGAGGGGGAUAACUACAGGAAACGGUAGCUACUACCGCAUACCAUCAAAUGUGCCCAGAUGGGAUUAGCUAGUGGGUGGGGUAACGGCGCACCUAGGCGACGAUCCGUACCUGGUAUGAGAGGAUGACCAGCCCAACUGGAACUGAGACACGGUCCAGACUCCUAGGGGAGGCAGCAGUGGGGAAUAUUGGACAAGGGGCGCAAGCCUGAUGCAGCCAUGCCGCGGGGGGGAAGAAGGCCUUGGGGUUGUAAAGCACUUUAAGCGGGGAGGCGGUACCCGAAGAAGAAGCACCGGCUAACUCCGUGCCAGCAGCCGCGGUAAUUC